rnacentral:rRNA from 1 species
CCUACGGGUGGCAGCAGUAGGGAAUAUUGCUCAAUGGGGGAAACCCUGAUGCAGCAACGCCGCGUGGAUGAUGAAGGUUUUCGGAUUGUAAACUCCUUUUGUUAGAGAAGAUAAUGACGGUAUCUAACUAAUAAGCACCGGCUAACUCCGUGCCAGCAGCCGCGGUAAUACGGAGGGUGCAAGCGUUACUCGGAAUAACUGGCGUAAAGGGCGCGUAGGCGGGUUAGCAAGUCAGAAGUGAAAGCCUAUGGCUUAACCAUAGGACUGCAUUUGAAACUGUUAUUCUAGAGUAUGGGAGAGGUAGGUGGAAUUCUUGGUGUAGGGGUAAAAUCCGUAGAGAUCAAGAGGAAUACUCAUGGCGAAGGCGACCUGCUAGAACAUAACUGACGCUGAGGCGCGAAAGCGUGGGGAGCAAACAGGAUUAGAUACCCGAGUAGUC